UACGGAAGGGGCAAGCGUUGUUCGGAAUCAUUGGGCGUAAAGGGCGCGUAGGCGGGCUUGCAAGUCUGUGGUGAAAUCCUCCAGCCCAACUGGAGAACUGCCGUGGAUACUGCGAGUCUCGAGGGAGGUAGGGGCGUGCGGAACAGAUGGUGGAGCGGUGAAAUGCGUUGAUAUCAUCUGGAACUCCGGUGGCGAAGGCGGCACGCUGGACCUCACUCUGACGCUGGAGGCGCGAAAGCUAGGGGAGCAAACGGG
rnacentral:rRNA from 1 species